AUGGGAGCUUGCUCCCUGAUGUUAGCGGCGGACGGGUGAGUAACACGUGGGUAACCUGCCUGUAAGACUGGGAUAACUCCGGGAAACCGGGGCUAAUACCGGAUGGUUGUUUGAACCGCAUGGUUCAAACAUAAAAGGUGGCUUCGGCUACCACUUACAGAUGGACCCGCGGCGCAUUAGCUAGUUGGUGAGGUAACGGCUCACCAAGGCAACGAUGCGUAGCCGACCUGAGAGGGUGAUCGGCCACACUGGGACUGAGACACGGCCCAGACUCCUACGGGAGGCAGCAGUAGGGAAUCUUCCGCAAUGGACGAAAGUCUGACGGAGCAACGCCGCGUGAGUGAUGAAGGUUUUCGGAUCGUAAAGCUCUGUUGUUAGGGAAGAACAAGUACCGUUCGAAUAGGGCGGUACCUUGACGGUACCUAACCAGAAAGCCACGGCUAACUACGUGCCAGCAGCCGCGGUAAUACGUAGGUGGCAAGCGUUGUCCGGAAUUAUUGGGCGUAAAGGGCUCGCAGGCGGUUUCUUAAGUCUGAUGUGAAAGCCCCCGGCUCAACCGGGGAGGGUCAUUGGAAACUGGGGAACUUGAGUGCAGAAGAGGAGAGUGGAAUUCCACGUGUAGCGGUGAAAUGCGUAGAGAUGUGGAGGAACACCAGUGGCGAAGGCGACUCUCUGGUCUGUAACUGACGCUGAGGAGCGAAAGCGUGGGGAGCGAACAGGAUUAGA
rnacentral:rRNA from 2 species